rnacentral:rRNA from 1 species
AAAAAAGGUAAGCUACUAAGAGCGAAUGGUGGAUGCCUUGACUGGUAAAGGCGAUGAAGGACGUACUAGACUGCGAUAAGCUACGGGGAGCUGUCAAGAAGCUUUGAUCCGUAGAUUUCCGAAUGGGGCAACCCAAUGUAUAGAGAUAUACAUUACCUAUAUAGGAGCGAACGAGGGGAAUUGAAACAUCUUAGUACCCUCAGGAAAAGAAAUCAAUAGAGAUUGCGUCAGUAGCGGCGAGCGAAAGCGCAAGAGGGCAAACCCAGUGCUUGCACUGGGGGUUGUAGGACUGCAAUGUGCAAGAGCUGAGUUUAGCAGAACAUUCUGGAAAGUAUAGCCAUAGAGGGUGAUAGUCCCGUAUGCGAAAAACAAAGCUUAGCUAGCAGUAUCCUGAGUAGGGCGGGACACGAGGAAUCCUGUCUGAAUCCGGGUCGACCACGAUCCAACCCUAAAUACUAAUACCAGAUCGAUAGUGCACAAGUACCGUGAGGGAAAGGUGAAAAGAACUGAGGUGAUCAGAGUGAAAUAGAACCUGAAACCAUUUGCUUACAAUCAUUCAGAGCACUAUGUAGCAAUACAGUGUGAUGGACUGCCUUUUGCAUAAUGAGCCUGCGAGUUGUGGUGUCUGGCAAGGUUAAGCAAACGCGAAGCCGUAGCGAAAGCGAGUCUGAAUAGGGCGCUUAGUCAGAUGCUGCAGACCCGAAACGAAGUGAUCUAUCCAUGAGCAAGUUGAAGCUAGUGUAAGAACUAGUGGAGGACUGAACCCAUAGGCGUUGAAAAGCCCCGGGAUGACUUGUGGAUAGGGGUGAAAGGCCAAUCAAACUUCGUGAUAGCUGGUUCUCUCCGAAAUAUAUUUAGGUAUAGCGUUGUGUCGUAAUAUAAGGGGGUAGAGCACUGAAUGGGCUAGGGCAUACACCAAUGUACCAAACCCUAUCAAACUCCGAAUACCUUAUAUGUAAUCACAGCAGUCAGGCGGCGAGUGAUAAAAUCCGUCGUCAAGAGGGAAACAACCCAGACUACCAGCUAAGGUCCCUAAAUCUUACUUAAGUGGAAAACGAUGUGAAGUUACUUAAACAACCAGGAGGUUGGCUUAGAAGCAGCCAUCCUUUAAAGAAAGCGUAAUAGCUCACUGGUCUAGUGAUUUUGCGCGGAAAAUAUAACGGGGCUAAAGUAAGUACCGAAGCUGUAGACUUGCACACAACUUAGAUUAUUUAAGUUUAGAAUAAGUAGUUUAAGUUGUGUGCAAGUGGUAGGAGAGCGUUCUAUUUGCGUCGAAGGUAUACCGGUAAGGAGUGCUGGAGCGAAUAGAAGUGAGCAUGCAGGCAUGAGUAGCGAUAAUUAAUGUGAGAAUCAUUAACGCCGUAAACCCAAGGUUUCCUACGCGAUGCUCGUCAUCGUAGGGUUAGUCGGGUCCUAAGUCGAGUCCGAAAGGGGUAGACGAUGGCAAAUUGGUUAAUAUUCCAAUACCAACAUUAGUGUGCGAUGGAAGGACGCUUAGGGCUAAGGGGGCUAGCGGAUGGAAGUGCUAGUCUAAGGUCGUAGGAGGUUAUACAGGCAAAUCCGUAUAACAAUACUCCGAGAACUGAAAGGCUUUUUGAAGUCUUCGGAUGGAUAGAAGAACCCCUGAUGCCGUCGAGCCAAGAAAAGUUUCUAAGUUUAGCUAAUGUUGCCCGUACCGUAAACCGACACAGGUGGGUGGGAUGAGUAUUCUAAGGCGCGUGGAAGAACUCUCUUUAAGGAACUCUGCAAAAUAGCACCGUAUCUUCGGUAUAAGGUG